CCUACGGGCGGCAGCAGUGGGGAAUAUUGGACAAUGGGGGGAACCCUGAUCCAGCCAUGCCGCGUGUGUGAAGAAGGCCCUCGGGUUGUAAAGCACUUUCAGUGAGGAAGAACGCCUGGUGGUUAAUACCCAUCAGGAAAGACAUCACUCACAGAAGAAGCACCGGCUAACUCCGUGCCAGCAGCCGCGGUAAUACGGAGGGUGCGAGCGUUAAUCGGAAUUACUGGGCGUAAAGCGCGCGUAGGUGGCUUGAUAAGCCGGUUGUGAAAGCCCCGGGCUCAACCUGGGAACGGCAUCCGGAACUGUCAAGCUAGAGUGCAGGAGAGGAAGGUAGAAUUCCCGGUGUAGCGGUGAAAUGCGUAGAGAUCGGGAGGAAUACCAGUGGCGAAGGCGGCCUUCUGGACUGACACUGACACUGAGGUGCGAAAGCGUGAGUAGCAAACAGGAUUAGAUACCCGGGUAGUC
rnacentral:rRNA from 1 species